AUGACGUCAAGGAAGUGACACAGAUAAAUCAAAAAUGGAACAAGGAAAUAUCGAAACACUGAGGCUAUUCUAACCUUUCUUACAACCCAGUGACACGGUAUACUUGAUGUUCUCGAACAUAAUAUCGACGGCAUAGUGUAAACCUUCGUGUCGACUGCAUUCGUCUCCUGGCCAUUGCUCAUCUCGUGCAUCAGUACUUCCAUCGUCGAGUAUUUUGAGCGAGCUAAUUGCUCGCCGAUUAGUUGAACAUAGACAAGCAAACACCAUAAAACUGCAGUCAGAAAAAUGGGAUAUGAUCAAUACAGAAAGGAACAUAAACAAACAGAAAGAUAUUUAUCAUCAAUUAUUUCUAUAUCUAGCGUUCCAAUUAAAAAAUUUGAAAUUUACCGCCAUCUUAAUAUUAUGAUAACCGAUGACAACAUUUGUACUUAAUAUACAUUUCUGAACUUAAAAUAUUAUAGUAUAUUAUAAUUUAUAUUUUAUAGCAUAAAUUUUAUAAAUUUUAAUAUACUGCUACCUUAUUUCCCCUGUCAAAUAAAAUAUCUAAUUAAAUAGUAAUCCUUUGCAUGCUUUAAUAAUUACAUAGUUAACCUUUAUAUACCGACUUUGAAAAAUAAGCAAGUAUCAAUGUUCGACGUGUAUUUUUCUUUUUUCUUUUAUGUAUGUUUACCAAUUACUUCAGAACGAUGGCUGGACCAAUCGGGAUAAUUCUUUGUGCAUCUUAUAGGAUAUGUUAGAGGGUAUGCAGUAUGGGAUUCAGCUAUCGGAAUCAAACAUUUUGCAUGUUCUAGAGAUUGUCCAAAGAAUUUGUUGUUCCAAUGUACCAUUGUUCCAAUAUUCUAGUCUACCAAUUUCAUUUUGAAAUUGCGUUGAUAAAUUUUAUUGAUAUAUUCCGUUGCAAUAUAUUUAGUAUGCUGUUUAAUAAGUAAAUGGAUAACGUAAUCGUUGUUGCAUAUAUAUCUAAAUCAAAUAUAAAUAAAAUAGAAAUUACUUUAUACCUUUAGCGGUUUUUAAAAUCGGUAAUAUCUUUUAACAACAAAUUUUUUAUUUCAGUUUACAGUUAAACAAAUGUUAUAACUGUAUUAAGACUUUUGACCAGGACUCUAUACACACAUACAUACGUAUAUGCAUAUAUACAUGUAUAUAUUCGUUUAUCUACUUACGUAUUUCUAUAAUUAUUUAUAACUUCUAUUUUUUUAUUUUUACAACACAUAUUCGGAAUUCAGAAAUUUUUCGACAAAUGUAACAAAAACUAAGUAGUUUGCUAAUUGACAUGAAAGUUAUGCCCGAAACUAAUUGAUCGCCAUAGUUUUAAUUAGGAACGAAAACAUGUCUAUAUAUCUAACUAAGAUGUAUACAAUAUUCUAAUAAUAUCCUUCAAAUUACGUGAUAUGACUCAAUCCAUGGAGUCUUUUAUUCAUUCCAGGAAAUGUCUAUUACACACAUCUUGCUGCUCUGAAUUUAAAAAUGUAAUAUUUUAACAUAAGAAUUCCCUCCUACUUGGAAUUAAUUAACUGUAUCCCCAAUGCCUUCUACUUCCUCAUCCCCUCUCUGAUCCUUGUACACACCCAUAUUCUUUUCUUUCUCUCUGUUCUUUAUUUCUCAUUUUUUAAAUCUUUUUUCUAUGUAAACUGCAGAAGCGAUAUUUUUUUGCAUAAGACAAAUUUAAAUUGUAAAAGAUUGUAAUAAAAUAUCGUUGUACAAGACACAAAGUGAGGGUAUAAAAAAUGAUGAUUGAAACCCAAACGAAUGAUUAUCAUGAUGUACAGUUAUCUUGUACAAUAAUCUUAUGUGACUUAUAUGACUUGUGAAAUAAUCAUACAAGUGCCAUCCAAAUAUAUUAUCUCUGCUAUUUCUUAAACAAUGUUUAAAUCAACACGCAACAGGCACAGAUAUCAUGAGAUUUUGGGUCGCAGUUAAGAUAGUUUGGAUUAAAUAUCCGAAUUCCAAGAUUAUAAUUCAUAUUAUGGAUCUGCUCUCUGUAGCUCUCGAUCUAUGGAAAAAAAGCUGAAUAAUACCCUAAGAAUAUCAAAGACCCUUAUAAUGAUUAAAGCACCAAACAACUAUCUUAUAAUUAAUCGAAUCGUCACUUUAUCUAAAAUGAUGAGUGUCAUAGGAAAAUAUCGAUUCCGAAACGAACUAUAGUACAAUUCAAAAUUAUAUUAACUGCUUGAUUAACAUUAUGUUUACGGGCGUUUCUUAUAUACCUAUCUCUACGAGCACCCGUCAAAUUGACGGAUAAACGAAAAUACGCAUUUUCUUUAAAAAAAUCAAUUUAUUCAAAUUAAGUCUUAAUUGAACAAUAUUAGGCUCCACGUUUAAAUAAAUUGUUAAUAAGUAAAAAGUCUUUUUUGAAAAAUUAUCACGGAAAUGAUAACAAUAAUAUUAACGAUAUAGGGUAAUCAUAUUUAUUGAGCACAUUUUUUACAAACAUACUGAAUUUUGUUUGUGCAUUUUCCGCAUGCGAUCUUUUUGCAAUAUACAGGGUGGUUGGUAACUGGUGGUACGCGAAAAAACAAGUCGAAAAUAUAGAAUAAAAUUUUUUUUAAUUUUUUUAAAAUCUACAGUGAGAUCCGUUAUAACGAGACGUGAUAAAGUGCACGCGUACCGAGCGAAAAUUCAAAGUUUUUUUUCUCGAAAACAAAGCCUCGAACGAAAAAUUUUUAUUCUACAUUUUCGACUUCUUUUUUCGCAUAGAAUCACCCCCUUUCCGCUUGUACCACCAGUUACCAACCACCCUGUAUACAACAAUUAUUGCUUCUAUUUUUUUUGCAAUAGGCUACUUGGCAACUUUUUCGCACUUCUGACGUUAAAGGUGACAGAAAUGAAGCGUCUGAUCUUUGGCAAAAUAUGAACUUCUUUCUGGAUAUUUUCGAUCCGGUGCAUUCUUCACAUAAUAUCCACGCGUUUAUCGCUGCCAAAUCUAAAAUAUUGAAAGGAGGGACCACCGGAAACUCCCUGCUUUCACACCAUAUUUGCGUGCCAUCUGGUCAAUGACGUCCACACCAAACUUUGUUUUAUUAUAAAAAGCAAUGGUUUCUGGAACACGUUUAUAAUUGUCUUCUACUUGUAUACCUGUAUGUUUGGUGCUUAGAAGGAGGACUUUUACGUUAGGUUUACUUUUAUACACAGUAAGCGUGCAGUUUUCUGAUUUAUAUAAAUUCGUGGAAAACAAUGUCAUCUUGUCCUUUUUCCCCUUGAGCAUCGAGUUUCAUAUUUCCCCAUAUAAGGGAAACCAUUCGAAAUAUAUUUUGUUUGGACGUCAACUGCUAACCAAAACUUAAUGCCAAAUUUAUGAGGCUUAUUCGGUAUAUAUUGCGUAAACCUGCAUCGGGCUUUCGUUGGAAAUAAUUGUUCAUCUAUUAAGAUAUUUUCAUAUGGCUUGUAACAAGCCUGGCUAUUACUUAUAAAUCUGUUCCGUAUUUCGGAUAUCAGCGCAAAUUUAUCUGUUUGUAAUCUUUAGGAGGCUCUCAAUGAUCUUGCUUCAUGUGCGCCUCGGGCAUAUGGAAUUCCUAGAAAAUUACGCAACUCAGCAACUGUGAUUGUCCAGUCUUUUUUCAAAACUCGAUGCGCCUCGGUUACAGUGCAAUCUUUUAUGUGUUCUAUUAUGUGUCUGCCAGUUAUCAAUUCGAAAGCACUAGUUACACAACCCGACAUAAUAUUUCUCUUAGCAUAGCCAGUAGGCCCUGCGAUAUCCUUGAAUAUCAUACGAACGGGCGUCCUACCCCUAGAUCCGCCUGCUUUCAGUUUUAUGCACUGUGUCCCGUCAAUUGCAAUUUCAGUUUCACCUGUUACAUUUUGGGAUGUGCUUGGAAUGCUCGUCCUUUCAUCCUCGGAGUCAGAACUAGAAAGAAUGCGCAUCCUUUUCUUGUUACGACACAUUUUCAAGAAAUGUUCCUCUUUACUAUCCGAAGAUCCUUCUAUCUCUCCACUUUCAAUGUAUUUAGAACUUUCACUGUCAGCUUCGCUUUGGCCUAAUUCAUACUGAUCUUCUUUGGAGGUAUCCUCAGAACAAUCUUCAUUGAUGUUGACAAUUUUGUUCAUUAUUUUACUAUAUCUCUUGGAUCUACUUGCGAUUGCUAGAAAAGGGGAAUUGGUGAAAAUAAGAAAAUACAGAAAUGUCUACAAUAACUGAAACUUUUGCACACUGUCUUUGAAAAACGGAUCGUUCAUGAAAUCAGCUAACCCGUCAAUUUCACGAGUUUCGUAGAGAUAGGUAUACUACAUAUAGAUUUCAAAAAUAAGAAAGCCUAGGAAAAAAUAAUUAUGCGCAUAAAUUCUUUAGAUGAAAUGAUUAAUUUACGACGCAAAAUGGAUAAAAUUAAUUACUUCAUUUCGAAGUUCGAAAUCCGUCAAAUUGACGGGUCCCGUAUACCUAGUGUUAAAUGAAUUCAAUGAUUUAUUAUAGAUAUAAGGUACUUAAUUUGCAUUUAACAUGGGUCACCUGAUUCUAAGAACUUCCCAAAAAGAGAAACAUGCUUUCUUUAAUGAAAGUAACAUUAAAAUAUAACUAAAUUAAUGGAUAUUUAUAUGUAUAUGUAUGUCAUUAUAAUAGUUGCACAAAAAAGUUUGUAUUUUAAUAUCAUGCAGAAAUAAUACUUUUUAACUUGCCUUCACUAAAAAAUUUUACUACUUAACUCACCUCUCGAAACCUGUUAUAUGCUUUCAAACAUGAUAAUCAACUGCAUUUGAUAACAAAUUUCUAAUUGAAUCUCAAGUGUAAACAUACUUGUUUUUAGCUUCGGAAGAGAUAUAUUAUACUGCAGUCGAUUAAUUUCAUAAUAUUCAACAGAAAUAGAGAAUGAAAUAAUAAAACAAACGUAUUGUAAUAAUUUAAAAAAUUAACAUUUUUUAAUAUAUAAAAUAUGCAACAGUUUCUUAUUAUUUUGGAUAUACAGCUCUGCUUUUGAAAACGUGACUUUAAAUUGAAGAAUGUAACUUGCAGUUUAUAUAAACAUAUAAGUUAUAUAUACAUAUGUUAUACGCACAUACAUAGAUUAUUUAAACGUCAGAUAGCAAAUCUUCAAAUAAAAAAGACAUUUAUAUGCUGUUACGUACAGUUUGGUCUAAAACACAAGGACCAGUAAUAGACGACUACUUCCGGAAGCCACAGGAAGUUACCACGGAUAUCUACUUGAAUUUAUUAUUCUCACGAUAAAAGACAUAACCGGUUUUUAUCACACAAGUAUUUAAUAUUUAUCAUCGAAAGAGUGACGUUUUUUUGUAUACAUUACCAUUCACUUUGCUUGUAAUUAAUUUCAUUUCCAAAGAUAAAAUUAUAAAAGUAUUAUAAAGAUAUUAAAAAUUGUAUUAAAAAGCAAUUUAAGUAUGCGUGGAUCACGAUAAUGCUCAUCGAUCAGUCAGCAUUUUAAAUAAUAUUAAUAAGGCGGCGAACAGAUAUGGAAAUUCAUAUUCUUAUAAAGAUAAGUAAGGAAAUGGAAUUUAUGUAGAAAAGUUUAGAUACCAAAUAUUACAGCAAGUGCUAUUAAACAAGUACUUUGGAAAUUUUAUAUAAUUCUGCAUAUUAGACGCAUUCUAUACGUUUUUUUAUCCUCAAAUAUUACCUAAAUGCAUAAAAAUCCGCAGUCCAUUAACUACUCUGCCUAAACACAAAUUGAUCUUUGUUACGAGUAUAGGUUAAAUCGCGCGGAACAUUUGCUAGUGAAGUUUGACAUGAUUUAACGAAAACCAAACGGAAAGUCGACGUUGAUCCCAGAUUAGAUUAGAUUAAUCGUUCUAUGAUUAUAAAGUGAUUCAGAAAUAAGUGAUAAAACUUAGUAUUCUAAUACUGUCUCUAAGAAUAAAAUAAAUGAUAUGAACAUGAAUUACUAUUGCAAAUACUUCAGCAUCCAGUUUUAGCUGACUCACUCAAUUCUGUUCGAAUGUACAAGAAAUUCCGGCAUUUGCAUUGCAUCACAUAGUCGUAAUUAACACAUACAGACAAAGAUUCUGUCACAACCAUAUUUUUUAAUUUCCGCGAAUUAUUUAAUUACAUUAGCAACAGUGUAUUAUGGUUACCUUACAAUUAUAAGCAACGCCUCGUCGAUACAUUUCAUGUGCAAUAAGUCUAUAGUAUCGUAAGUAAAGGAAAUGGUUUUGAAGGAAUAGACAAUUUUCUUGAAAAAAAAGCAAAGUUAGAAAACCUUUAAUUUCGAUAAAAUAACGGUUAUUUAUGGAUUGUUAAUAACACACGUUGAAUGAUCAAAUGUCGGUCUAAAGGACAGAAAAACAGAAUAUUCUGCAUUAUGACGCGUAUUCAUUUAAAAAAAUAAUAAAAAUAGACACAGCUUAUUGAGAAGUGCUUAUUAAAAAUAAUUGAAGUUUAAAUUCCAAUAAUGACCAUUACAAGUUCGAUACGUGAACUUCGAUUAGUCAUUAAAUUUAUUGCAGAAAAUAAGCACAUUGAUUAAAACAAUUUAUUCGUUUCUUUAUAUCGGUUGUAUAUCUUUUUAAUCUUGUUUUUAUCUCUUUAUUAAUUAUUUUCAAAUUGAUUUAUUUCUGAUAAUAGUAUUUGUCUGAUAAUAGUAUUAAUAAUAGUAUUAUGUCUGAUAAUAGUAUUUCAGACUGUCCAUAAACAAUCAUUACUUACAUACAUAUAAAUAUUAUACAAAAUAUAUACAUGAUGAACAAGAAAGCAAUUCAUAUGCACGUAUACAUAUGACAUCGUUAAGAAGGAAUCGACGACAUUGAAACAUUUGAUCGCUAAGCAAACUUCCUCAAAGAGAACAAAGUGGUUUAUCUCUUCUGGCGAUAACUCUAAUCUUGUUUAUAGUAUUAACAACAAUCAUUGUUUCAGAAGUUAAAGCUGAACUCUGAAAGUUUAUCAUUUGUAUGCAAACGAUGCAUUUCCGAGACAAUAGCCAUAAAUUAUAAUGAUUGGUCGAAGUACAUCGCAAAUCUAAUCGCACAAAAUGAAUCAACAAUGAAAGUCCAGUGGAGAGAUCGUUAAAGAUCCAAGCCGGCCGUUGUUUACGUGGAAUGGCAUAAAUUCAAGUUCACAUUUAUUAUUCCUGAGACGAUAUCAAUAUACAGCGAUCUAUCUUGCAUAUUGAUUUCUUUGUCAAUCAGUUUCCUUGAUAACCUGUGUACACGUUUCGAAUGUUCUUAGAAAUUGCUCUUAGUUAAUGUCAGUGAUCAACGAUGAUGUAAAUUGCAAACAAGUCACUCUAUUUACACACGUAUCGAUAUACGUCAUAAAGAGUCAUACAUAAAGCUAUAAAACUCUAACCUCCAAAUGUAAAACUUUAUAGAUAGUCGUAUAUUAACACUACAUUUAUCAAAAAGUUACAAUUAUGCAAUUUUUAAUAUAUUUUUCUUUUUUCGAUUAUGGCUAUUUCUAAUUGUAAUUACAUUACAUCGAACAAUAACCUAUAAAAAAAUAUAAUCAUAUAUUUACAAAUUUAAAACGUAUAUAAAGCAUUUAAAAGUAACGUAAAGAAACAAAUUUGUAUGAACGUUUUCGUUAUACAAUUUGAAUUGGCAUCCCAGUUUCCCUUCUUACGAGAAUUUAUCGACCGCGCUGUGAAAUGAUCAUUAUUUAUGAUUGCUUUCUACAAAGAUUUACACAAUGUUAUAUUUAUUACAUGUAUUGUACUUUCGUUGGGGUUAUCAAAACGUUAAGGAAGACUCUGAAGCUGUCCACCUAAUAAUGUACCUAUCUUUGUGCUGACUUUCUUUGUAAUUGCAAAACAACAUUGCAAUGUUUAUUAGAUCAUCAUAUUGAUUAUUUACAUGACUCCUGCGACAAAAUUUUGUGCAAACUUAAUAGAAAAGAUAAUGAUUGUAGAGCAAAGAUCAAUUCAACGUAAGAAAACAAAAGUUGCCUGCUCGCGUUCCUCGAAAGAAAGAAAGAUGACUAACAUAGAAUAUCUACAAACAUAUGUGUAUAAUCAUGCGAUGAGUAAGUUUGAUAGUAUUACUUCGGACUUUGUACGCGGAUGUCAAAUUUGCCGAUAAAUCGUAUAAUUAAUCAUGUAACUUUGGAUAAUUCAGAUUUUAAAUAGAAAUAAAUACAUUAGAUGCUUUAAUUUUACAUACGUUACGUUAGAGAGUUAUAAUUAAAUCUAACAAGAAUUUAUGAACUUGUUAACGCCUCUACAUAUAUAAGUAUACAUAUAUAGCAUGAACAAUCAGAGCUCUUGUGCAAUAAUUUACUAACUAUUAAUAUUAAUAAAUUAAGAAGUUACAAGUAGAUCUUUUAUAAACUUCGUAAAACGACUAGAUAAUUUAUAAUUUCUAAAUUUACUUGUAAAAUUUAAUUCCAUUAUUCAAUUAAUUAAUAUCAUGCAAGAACAUUUAUUGACAGUUUGGAAUAAACAUCUUGUAACUUCUAGGUAUCUUUUACGUUUUCAGAAUGGUUUCAAAUUUCACCAAUAUAAUUACAUAUAACGUUCAUCUCAGUACAGUAUGAAUAAAAUUCAAAAUAUUUUAUAUCGUAUAUAUUAAACAAUACAUAUACAGUGUAUGUAUAUGAAUAUAUAUAAAAAUGUUCUAUAUAUGUUCAAAAGCAUUUUUGCGUCACUGUGCAUACUUUUAUCUUCCAUUUAUCUCUGACCUUUUUUUUAACUUAUUAUAUAAUGUGUAUUAUAAGAAGACCUAUUUAUUUACAUAUGGCCUAUAUUAUAAGAAAAAUUAUCAUAGAAAUCUAAAACGGAGGGCGAACAACAAACAAACCGCGAUCUCCCUCAUUUUGGAUGGAUCAUGAGUCAAGGUUCAUUAAAGAAUGUACAAUUUAGAAAUAAAUGAAUAUUCAUGUUGCUAUCAAUCAGUUUAGCAUCAACGAUGUUAACUAUGAUUGUUUCAAAAACAACCUUUGAAGUUUCCAUUAACUAUUCAUUGAGAGAUUGAUUAAUUGGCAACCAGUGAUAUCGUAUUAUGUAAGCAUAAACAGGUACGUGUAAUUUUUCUCACCGGCCGAUAAAAAAACUGUAAUUGAUAUUGAAAAAAUAUACAUUGGUCAUAUACUUAUAUAAAGUGUAAAUUAUUUUAUAAGAUAAGCAUUCUCUUUCUCUUUAGUCACAUGAUUGGACGAUAUCGAAAGUUAAAGAUAACGUGAUAUAGAGAUUGGAAUUUUAAGUUUAGAAAUACUUCAAAUCUAAUCCAGACUAAAAAAAGCAGCUUCAAAUAUCUUUUUAUGGAUACUCAAAUUUAUUAUAUAAAAAAGAGCAACGAAACCAGCAAUAGGGAAAAUUUAUUUCAAAUGAUUCAUUUGAAAUUCGUGUUUCAGUGGGAAUGAAAUUCCAAAAUAUUUUAUAUAACACAUACAGUACACAAUAAUGUAUAAUGUUAUCAUCAAUGUAUAAGUCAGUUAUAGGUCAGGUAUAAGUCAGUGUUUUUGGCUACGAAAUAUGCUUCUUAACUUUCUUAAGUUUUAGCUAUACGAGGUAUCUAUACUAACAAAAUUGGCCUUAGUUUCUCUUUUAGAGAAGCUUCAGUCAUCCUGUUUUCAAGGACACCAGAUACAUAAAUACCAAAAUGCUACAAUAACUCACGAAAAAUGUGCUUUCACUUUUUUUAUAGCUUAAAUACAUAUACAAUUUAUGUAACCAAAUUGUUUAACAGAAAAUUCCUUUAGAAGAUACUCACACUUAUAAAUCUUUAAUGAUAUUGUAAAUAAUUAUACCAAACUACUAAUAUUUUAUUCCUUCGAAUAAAUAUCUCUCUGUUAACUUUAUCAAGCAAGGAAAUAAACUUCAUACUUCCAUUAUUUUAUCUCUGCAACAUAUUCUUGUAGGAAACGUCAUCGACACGAUAAAGCUUGACAAUUACGAAAAAUAUAUGAUUUUCCAGAAUUCAUUUAGAUUGUAUGCCACUUAUAAAUGCUUCUUCACUGAUAAUACCGAGUGAUUAAUAACAUCGUAACAGCAUGCGUGCACUACGCACAAAGUUCAAUCGGUCAUUUUACGCAAAUUGCUAUGGCAUAUAAAUAUCAAUACAUAUUCUUUAAUUAAUUUCGACUUUGAUACGUGAUUCAACAAUCACCUGACUUGUUUGAAAUGUUUUUAAAAAGAGCGCGGAUUUUUAUGCAUUUGUAAUAAAUUUAAAGCUUUAAAAAUCCGCAAAUUGUAUAUACGAAUAAGUAUACAAAAAUAUAUAAAAUAUUGAAAGCAAAGUACUUUUAUAAUCGUUAAUGGAUGAAAGAAAUUUUUAUGUAGGUUCCAUUUCUUUAAUUUUAUUCGCAGAAAUAUGAAAUUGCAUAAAAAUACGAAAUCUACUUAGAAGAAAUCGACUCGAAUGAAGUUACAUUAGAACUUAAAGAUUUGCUAUUCUUUGGUACCUCCCACAGUCAAAGAAGAAACAUCCAAAUUCAGUAAUAAAUUAACAACCACAAAAACCCUGCUAGUUACUCAAUUACUUGACACGACGGAUCAGAUCCGCAGGGUAAACAUUACCCUUUAGAUUUAAGCACUAGAUUCAACUAGAAUGAAACACACGAUAAACACUUAUUAAACACGACUUAGUACCACGCCAUAGUAAUACGCCAGAAACAUUUACUUAUAAUUCUCAAUGAGAAUUGAUUGUAAAAUUCAUGCAAAUAAAAAAAAAAUUCUUUGGUACCUAUUUCUUUAUUCUCCUAAACAUCAGGAUAAUGAAGAAAGGUUAACGUAGAAAAAUUUCAUUUAAGAUUUAUUUCUCAAGUUACGAAACAAUUUUAUUAGAAUCACAUUUUAUUAAUAUCGCCUAUAUCUUUUAACAUUCUGUAGAUAAAAAGUGAGGUUAACUUCAUUUCAAAAAAUUACUAGAAUAAAAAUGUAAGUUAAUUUACAAAGAAGUGUAGCCAAUUAUUUUAAAAAGUAAGCAAUAUUAAAUAUAAUAAGAGGUUAUAAUCGUUAAUGGAUGAAAGAAAUUUCUAUGUAGAUUCCAUUUCUUUAAUUUUAUUCACAGAAAUAUGAAAUUGCAUAAAAAUACGAGAUCUACUUAGAAGAAGUCGACUCAAAUAAAGUUACAUUGUAACUUAAAGAUUUGCUAUUCUUUGGUACCUGCCACAGUCAAAGAAGAAACAUCCAAAUUCAGUAAUAAGAUCAGAUCGGCAGGUUAA